ACCAGACUCCUACGGGAGGCAGCAGUCGGGAAUAUUGCGCAAUGGAGGAAACUCUGACGCAGUGACGCCGCGUAUAGGAAGAAGGUUUUCGGAUUGUAAACUAUUGUCAUUAGGGAAGAUAAAAGACUGUACCUAAGGAGGAAGCCCCGGCUAACUAUGUGCCAGCAGCCGCGGUAAUACAUAGGGGGCAAGCGUUAUCCGGAAUUAUUGGGUGUAAAGGGUGCGUAGACGGGACAGCAAGUUAGUUGUGAAAGCCCUCGGCUUAACUGAGGAACUGCAACUAAAACUAUUGUUCUUGAGUGCAGGAGAGGAAAGCGGAAUUCCUAGUGUAGCGGUGAAAUGCGUAGAUAUUAGGAGGAACACCAGUGGCGAAGGCGGCUUUCUGGACUGUAACUGACGUUGAGGCACGAAAGUGUGGGGAGCAAACAGGAUUAGAUACCCCAGUA
rnacentral:rRNA from 1 species